AUGAUGAGAUUGAUCGUGUACUCAGAUGUGCCAACGAUGCCAGCGAGCCUUAAUGCUACGGUUACAGCUCUACUUCACGAUAGCAAUGUUAUGCGUGCACUCCAUCUCUCCGGCCAGACAUGGAUGGCAUUCAUACGUUGGUCCCUAGCAUGUGUCAUCCACUCACACGACAACAAUGAAGCCAACAAAGAAUCUCAACCUGCGUCUAGCACUAAUCCAGAGGGUUGCCGGGCCAUCUGGAACCUGAUAUGGAAAACGGAUGUUCCUCCAACAGUCAAAAACUUUGCUUGGAGAGUGGUCUCAGAUUCCCUUCCUACUUGGGUUAACAAGCAUAAGAGGACCUUAGAAAUCACCAGCAUAUGUCCGGUGUGUGGUGUGGAACCGGAAGACAACUUCCAUCCUCUAUGUCGCUGCCCUAGAGCAAGAGAAUUAUGGUGCUAUAUGUCAGAGGUUUGGAACCUCCCACCGAUGGAUACCAUUCAGAAUGUUGGGAAGGAAUGGCUGUUCCAAGUGCUACAGCCACUUCAUGAAUUAGAGAGGUCCAUGCUUCUUAUGACUCUCUGGAGGUGUUGGUUCAUUCGUAAUGAGAUAGUGCACAAUAAGAUUCCGCCUCCCCUUGAGGUAUCGAGGAGGUUCCUUGUCAGCUAUCUGGAGUCACUAAUUGCUAUCAAAACGAACAUGCAUAUGGAUCCAGCCAAGGGGAAGUCAAUUAUCUCCUUUGAUCGCACGUUAACCCAUGCUGAAGCGCCCGUACCGGCCGCCCUGAAGUGGGCUGCACCACCGGAAGGGUGGGUAAAGCUAAACACGGACGGCUCUUUUCAUGAUGGUAGGGCAGGUGCAGCUUUGGAGGCAGAGCUGGGUGCUUGCAUGGAAGGUCUUUCUCUAGCGAUCCAGAGAAGUGAUCGUCCAGUGACCAUUGAGUUGGAUUCACUUGUUGCUAUAAAGCUGAUUCAAGGACAGGAGACAGAUAGGUUUAUUUAUGCUUCUUUAGUUAGCGAUAGUCUAGCAAAUUUUGCUCGUACCGAGGGAAGAACCAUGACUUGGAUUGGCUCUGGUCCCCCGAUAGUGCUUGAGCUAGUCGCCGCUGAAUUGGCAUUCCACAGUCGGCCCACAUCACGACCCAGGUUGUCUUCCUGGAAGGCGAGCCGAUGCCCACGGCCGCAACACUCGACCUCCGCCACGACGACGCCUGACGCUACAGAGAAGAAGCCGGGAGGCGGGCAACAAGAAUAUGAGAUCUAUACGGUUGUACGGGGGGUGACACGAUGGUGGCCAAUAGUGCGCGCCCCUCACUCUAUCAUCUCCCCAUUUGCUCGAUCGUUCGACUGUUGA
rnacentral:rRNA from 1 species